UACGUAGGGUGCGAGCGUUGUCCGGAAUUAUUGGGCGUAAAGAGCUCGUAGGCGGUGUGUCGCGUCGGUCGUGAAAACUUGGGGCUUAACUCUGAGCUUGCGGUCGAUACGGGCAUCACUGGAGUUCGGCAGGGGAGACUGGAAUUCCUGGUGUAGCGGUGAAAUGCGCAGAUAUCAGGAGGAACACCGGUGGCGAAGGCGGGUCUCUAGUACGGUACUGACGCUGAGACGCGAAAGCGUGGGGAGCGAACAGG
rnacentral:rRNA from 1 species